rnacentral:rRNA from 1 species
GUGGCGACCGGCGCACGGGUGAGUAACGCGUAUGCAAUCUACCUACAACAAGGGGAUAACCCGUUGAAAGACGGACUAAUACCCUAUAAUACAGGGGUUCCGCAUGGGACUAUUUGUUAAAGAUUCAUCGGUUGUAGAUGAGCAUGCGUUCCAUUAGCUGGUUGGUGAGGUAACGGCCCACCAAGGCAACGAUGGAUAGGGGAACUGAGAGGUUUAUCCCCCACACUGGUACUGAGACACGGACCAGACUCCUACGGGAGGCAGCAGUGAGGAAUAUUGGUCAAUGGACGCAAGUCUGAACCAGCCACGUCGCGUGAAGGAAGACGGCCCUACGGGUUGUAAACUUCUUUUGUAAGGGAAUAAAGUGAGUCACGUGUGACUUUUUGCAUGUACCUUACGAAUAAGGAUCGGCUAACUCCGUGCCAGCAGCCGCGGUAAUACGGAGGAUCCGAGCGUUAUCCGGAUUUAUUGGGUUUAAAGGGUGCGCAGGCGGGAGAUUAAGUCGGCGGUGAAAUUUUGCAGCUCAACUGUAAAAGUGCCAUCGAUACUGGUUUUCUUGAGUGUGGAUGAAGUAGGCGGAAUUUGUGGUGUAGCGGUGAAAUGCAUAGAUAUCACGAGGAACACCGAUUGCGCAGGCAGCUUACUAAACCAUAACUGACGCUCAGGCACGAAGGCGUGGGGAUCAAACAGGAUUAGAUACCCGUGGUAGUCCACGCAGUAAACGAUGAUUACUGGCUGUUUGCGAUAUACAGUAAGCGGCUGAGCGAAAGCGUUAAGUAAUCCACCGUGGGGUAGUACGUUCGCAAGAAUGAAACUC